ensembl:lncRNA novel transcript, antisense to AKAP6
CAGACACUGAUUUGGAUACUCGAGGUCCUCUGACUGAGUUUCCUAAACAAGAAAUGAUACUUCACAUGCCUGAAAAUGAAUAAUCUAGAAUAUUUCAUUAACAUUCAGCUGACCAGUUUUAAAUAAGAGCAGUUGGGAUUGCAUUCAAUUAAACUGGAGUCUAUAAGGAACAACAGUUAAAAAUGGGAACAGAGGUAUCCCAAGAGAACUCUUACUGCUAUAGUAUUUGUGAGGUCAUGACAGUAUUAUCAACAUCUCGGGACCUAUUAAUAGUUUUGUCAAGAAGAAAAGAAAAUGAAUAGCCUAGUUCAGUAAUUCCCCUCAUUUGGAAAGGAAUCAAGAACCCCUUUGUGAUUCUGUUGACAGCUAUGGUCCCUCUCCCAAGAAAAUGUCUACUUUGCAUUCAAUUUCAAUAAAUUUCCAGAAGCCUUGAUGUGCAUCCACAGGUUCUAUGUGAGAAAACCCUCUUCUUGGAUGAUUUCUAAGUCUACAGUGUUGUAUACUUCACAGGAAUAAAA